rnacentral:tRNA from 1 species
UUAAUUGAAGCUAAAAUAUGAAGCAUUCCACUGUUAAUGGAAAAAAUGGUAAACCCCAAUUAAA